GAUUUGAUCAUAGGAUAUUGAAGGAAAGGAGAACUUAGGCUUUCUCUCAGACUUAAAGCUAUUUUUGACACAGUCAGUUACAGAUUGAACUCCUUGUUCUACUACUUUCCCCCCUCCUCACUACUGCACUUGACUAGUCUUUA
rnacentral:sRNA from 1 species